GUAAUUUGGGACAAAAAAAAGAAAUUGAGCAUUGAAAUUCUUAAAAAGGUGAGUUGAGAGAAAGGAAGACUCUGGAAAAGGAACCUGUAUAAUCACAGCUUGUUGCUGCUGGGACAGGGCACAAAAAGGGAGUGACAAACUGCUUGCAAGGUUUCCCUUUAAAAAGUUCAGUUCGUUUUUUAACUCUUACUUUUUCCCGGAAGACUGGUUGCUGUAGGACAGAGGUGUUUUCUAGAUGCAGCACAAGAGCUGGGCUGCCCCAAAGUCAGUGCAGCAGAUGAGCCCACCCCCUUUGCAGCACCCUGGGAGCCUGGGAUGGGGCUGGUGCAUCCAGGCAUGGGCAGGUGACAGGGCUCAGCUGUCAGAGUUUUCCAAGGCAGGAAUGCUGCAGGCAGCUCACCCUCUGGCAUCAGGGCUGCACUUCCAUCUCCUCUCAUCAUGCACUGGUUGUGGCCAUACAGCCUGGCAGCAUCUCACCAGUUCCUGCUGGAAAAAACACCAUUCGCUGGCCCCAAAACACCAUUCAAAACUAAUGGAAAUGUGUGAGUGUCUCCCACAGGAACAAAUUCAGGGAGAAGCAUCAGCAGCCCCAGUGACAAUUUGAUGGUUGCAUGUUCAGGCAAUGAUUCUGUGGUUACCAAUGUUUAAUUUUAUAAACCUAAAAGUAGCACCAUUGAUUAUAUAAGAAUUACUCAUGCAUGCAUAAAUAAAAGCUUGCUGGACCUAA